rnacentral:tRNA from 1 species
GUCCCGGUAGCUCAGCUGGUUAGAGCGCACGGCUGUUACAGAAGGUGGAUACAGUCCAGGAAUCUGCUUAAGGUUUGUAGAAACCGUGAGGUCGGAGGUUCAAGUCCUCUCCGGGACG